AUCUACGGCCAUGCCACCCUGAACAAGCCCAAUGUCUGAUCUCGGAAGCUAAGCAGGGUCAGGCCUGGUUAGUACUUGGAUGGGAGAUCACCUAAGAAGACCAGGUGCUGUAGGCA
rnacentral:rRNA from 1 species